rnacentral:lncRNA from 1 species
GCUGUUUACAGGCAUGGUCAUGAUGCACCACAGCCUCUAACUGUUGAGCUCAAGCAGUCCUUUGGCCUCAGCCUCCCGAGUAGGUGGGACUAUAGGAGUGUGCCACCAUGCCCGGCUAAUUUUUGUAUUUUUAGUAGAGACGGGGUUUCACCAUGUUGGCAAGGCUGGUCUGGAACUCCUAACCUCAAGUGAUUCACCUGCCUUGGCCUCCCAAAGUGCUGGGAUUACAGGUGUGAGCCACCUCGCCUGGCCAUAAAUACCAAUCUUAUCUCUCUCAAAUUUUUUCUGUAGCAGAUGAAAUUAUAUUCUUGAUUAGUCUUUAAAAUGAUAAAUUUCUUUUCUUUGUGCACAUUUAAAAUAUGUAGCCCAUCUUCCUUUUACCAAGAGUAAGGCCAAUACAGUUGAAAAACCAUUUGAAGAUUUCCUAUGUUUAAAAAGCAAUCCAAGAUUUUUUAAAGUUAAUCUUGUGUGUGAUUGAGUUUAUUCCAACAGUUAAAUCUAAGUUAGCAGUACUUAUUGUCUUUAGUACACAAGAUGAGUAAGACACGGUCCUUUCCUUCUCUCCAUGAGCUUAUUAUGUCCUAGUUGGAAGCAGGAGGAACGAAUAAAGCAGUAAAGUAUUCCUAUAAUGGAAGGCAGAACUCAGUGGGAGGGGAGCACUCAUGCACUUGGAACUGCCAGGAAAAAACCUCAUGGAAGACAUAACAUUUGAGAUAGCCCUUCGAUAGUGAGUAGAAUUUCAGUGCAUAGAGAUUGAGAAGGUGUUUGGAGGAAGAAAGAACAAAAUCAUGGAGGCAGAAAGGUUGGUCACAGGAAAAAACAAGUAGCCUGGGUUGACAGGAGUAUAGCAUACACAAGGAUGUAAAAACAGUUAAGGUCACAAAAGUAGGUUAGGACCUUCCUUAGAAUAAACAAAUAGGGUCAACCUGAGGUAGGCACUCCAACUUUUUCAACAUUAUGAUAUAUUCAAAUAGAUAUAUUCAAAUAAGAUACAGUAUUUAGAUUUAUGGGUCAUUGUUCACAGCCAACCAAUAAAUGACAUGAGAUCUACUCUGUAAGUAAUACACACUAAAAUAAUAAACUUAUUAAUGUCUAAUGAGUAAUCACACAGUAAAAGGAAAAGUAAUUGCCACUCUAUGGUUACUGCCAUGAGAAAGUAAAUGAUACUUACCUUCUGUCUCAAAUCAGUACAAAAAUUUUAAACACAUCUUUUUCUCAAAAUGGGCCUACUGGCGGGGCGCGGUGGCUCACGCCUGUAAUCCCAGCACUUUGGGAGGCCAAGGUGGGCAGAUCACAGGGUCAGGAGAUUGAGACCAUCCUGGCUAACAUGGUGAAACCCCGUCUCUACUAAAAAUACAAAAAAUUAGCCAGGCGCGGUGGUGGGUGCCUGUAGUCCCAGCUACUUGGGAGGCUGAGGCAGGAGAAUCGCUUGAACCCGGGAGGCGG